rnacentral:rRNA from 1 species
CCUACGGGUGGCAGCAGUGGGGAAUAUUGGACAAUGGGGGGAACCCUGAUCCAGCCAUGCCGCGUGUGUGAAGAAGGCCCUCGGGUUGUAAAGCACUUUCAGUGAGGAAGAACGCCUGGUGGUUAAUACCCAUCAGGAAAGACAUCACUCACAGAAGAAGCACCGGCUAACUCCGUGCCAGCAGCCGCGGUAAUACGGAGGGUGCGAGCGUUAAUCGGAAUUACUGGGCGUAAAGCGCGCGUAGGUGGCUUGAUAAGCCGGUUGUGAAAGCCCCGGGCUCAACCUGGGAACGGCAUCCGGAACUGUCAAGCUAGAGUGCAGGAGAGGAAGGUAGAAUUCCCGGUGUAGCGGUGAAAUGCGUAAAGAUCGGGAGGAAUACCAGUGGCGAAGGCGGCCUUCUGGACUGACACUGACACUGAGGUGCGAAAGCGUGGGUAGCAAACAGGAUUAGAUACCCUGGUAGUC